AGCGAACGCUGGCGGCAGGCCUAACACAAGCAAGUCGAACGAAGUCUUCGGACUUAGUGGCGGACGGGUGAGUAACACGUGGGAACGUGCCUUUAGGUUCGGAAUAACUCAGGGAAGCUUGUGCUAAUACCGAAUGUGCCCUUCGGGGGAAAGAUUUAUCGCCUUUAGAGCGGCCCGCGUCUGAUUAGCUAGUUGGUGAGGUAAAGGCUCACCAAGGCUACGAUCAGUAGCUGGUCUGAGAGGAUGACCAGCCACAUUGGGACUGAGACACGGCCCAAACUCCUACGGGAGGCAGCAGUGGGGAAUCUUGCGCAAUGGGCGAAAGCCUGACGCAGCCAUGCCGCGUGGAUGAUGAAGGUCUUAGGAUUGUAAAAUCCUUUCACCGGUGAAGAUAAUGACUGUAGCCGGAGAAGAAGCCCCGGCUAACUUCGUGCCAGCAGCCGCGGUAAAAC
rnacentral:rRNA from 1 species